GAUGAACGCUGGCGGCGUGCCUAAUACAUGCAAGUCGAGCGAACAGACGCGGAGCUUGCUCCUCGGACGUUAGCGGCGGACGGGAGAGUAACACGUGGAUCACCUACCUGUAAGAGGGAGAUAACUUCGGGACACCGGCGCUAAUACCGUAUAAUAUAUUGAACCGCGUGGGUCAAUAGUGAAAGACGGUGUUGCGGUCACUUAUAGAGGGAUACGCGCCGCAUUGGCUGGUUGGUACGGAAAAAGCUUACCACGGGUAGGAGGCGUAGCCGACCUGAGAGGGUGAUCGGCCACACUGGAACGGAGACACGGUCCAGAGGCCUACGGGAGGCAGCCGUAGGGAAUCGGGCGCAAGGGGCGAAAGCCUGACGGAGAAGCGCCGCGGGAGUGAGGAAGGUCGUCGGAUCGGAAAACUCUGUUAUUAGGGAAGAACAAAUGUGUAAGUAACUAUGCGCGUCUGGACGGUACCUAGUUAGAGAGGCACGGCCAACUACGUG
rnacentral:rRNA from 1 species